GGCAAACACUACAGUGUGAGCAUCUCCCUGUCCCCCAACAAUUGAUGGAAAAACCAAGGCUUGGAAAAAAAAAUCAAAGGCACAUUGACUCACCCCGGAUAAACUCAUGUCUUCUACAGAGCAAAGCAGAGAAGAGAGGAAGAGGAAAAAUGGCUUUUCUCACAGGAGAUAGUCAACAGAUAUAUUAAGAAGCACCACAUGAGUAAUUUGAGCUUCUGUGAUUUCUGUUUCUUACUUUUCUCCAUGCUUUGUUAGGUGGCAAGUAGGAGAGCCAGCAUUUGAAUCUUCCAGAAAUUCAGUAUCUGCUUCCUGGAUAAUUUCAUGUAUGAUCUAACACUGAGAACAUUUGCCCUAUUUCUUGUCCUGUAAAUCUGAAUUCUUCUGAAUUCUGUUUGUUAGUGCUUUUGUUGAUAAGAAAGAAAGGUAAGAUUUUAAGGUACUAAGUGUCUAUCCAUUUGAAAAGGAAAAGCAAACCAAAAUUCAUAUCUGGGUUCAGGCUAGAUUUUCACAUAGCUAGCUCUUUGGAGACAUUGCCCAUGAAGAACAAAACUGUAUGGAGUGACAUUUGGUCACCGACCUCACUGAGAGUACUUCUGGGGCCUUUAAUCUACGGUAGCAACAAUCAUGUUUGACCACAGUUAGUGAAGCGUUUCCUCUUUUACAUUCAGUUAUGUGACCAGUGAAAUCAUUUAAUAAGCUUUGUCCUGCAGCCCAUGAUAUAUAAGUCCCGUGUGA